GGCCGAUUUGCAAGUGCUAAACAGUCUCACAUCACUGAAGUUAGCUGUUAUAGGCAACAUCAUCAUGAGCAAGAGGAAGGGUGACAUUGUGACGAUGAGUAUCAGUCAGAUGAUGAAUAGACCUAAAGAAGAGAGGAGAGCUGAGGAAAGGAAAAGACAGGAAAAGAGAUGACUUGAGAGCAGAGAAGAGGAGCAAAGAUGACUGGGACCAGAGGACAGGAGGAGAGACAUAGAGAGCAGAGGAGCGAAGAGACCUACAGAGGAAAGGAGACGACAAGAGAAGAGAUGACUGGAGAGGAGAAGAUAGGACGAGAGGUGCUACUCUGCUGCAGCGGAGCGCGCCGGAUUGGCUCCUUCUGAGCCGUGUAGCAGUCCCACCAGUGGACAUAGAGCUCCAUGUUUUUAUUUCAUGGUAUUGUGACAUCGACUUUCCAGACUCUUUCAACUGCUAUGUUUUCUUCAGUGUCUGUUAUGACAUCACACUUUCUCAACCCAGUUAUCGCCAACUGACCCUGAAUCUGUCUG
ensembl:lncRNA